AAUUUAUGGACGAUAUUUCGAUUGAGUUUGUAAAUGGAAAGCGGCGGACGGGUGAGUAACGCGUAGGUAACCUGCCCCAUACAGAGGGAUAGCCACUGGAAACGGUGAUUAAUACCUCAUAAAACUGAGAAUACACAUGUAUGCUCAGCCAAAGAUUUAUCGGUAUGGGAUGGACCUGCGUCUGAUUAGUUAGUUGGUGAGGUAACGGCUCACCAAGGCGACGAUCAGUAGCCGACCUGAGAGGGUGAUCGGCCACAUUGGAACUGAGACACGGUCCAAACUCCUACGGGAGGCAGCAGUGGGGAAUAUUGCACAAUGGGCGAAAGCCUGAUGCAGCAACGCCGCGUGAACGAAGAAGGCUCUUGGGUCGUAAAGUUCUGUUCUGAGGGAAGAAGAAAGUGACGGUACCUCAGGAGAAAGCCCCGGCUAACUACGUGCCAGCAGCCGCGGUAAUACGUAGGGGGCAAGCGUUGUCCGGAAUUAUUGGGCGUAAAGAGUACGUAGGCGGUCUGUUAAGCGCAAGGUGAAAGGCAUAGGCUCAACCAAUGUGAGCCUUGCGAACUGGCAGACUUGAGUGCAGGAGAGGAAAGCGGAAUUCCUAGUGUAGCGGUGAAAUGCGUAGAUAUUAGGAGGAACACCGGUGGCGAAGGCGGCUUUCUGGACUGAAACUGACGCUGAGGUACGAAAGCGUGGGGAGCAAACA
rnacentral:rRNA from 1 species